rnacentral:rRNA from 1 species
UACGUAGGGUGCAAGCGUUGUCCGGAAUUAUUGGGCGUAAAGGGCUCGUAGGCGGUCCAUCGCGUCGGGAGUGAAAAGCUGGGGCUUAACCCCAGUCCUGCUUCCGAUACGGGUGGACUAGAGGUAGGUAGGGGAGAACGGAAUUCCUGGUGUAGCGGUGAAAUGCGCAGAUAUCAGGAGGAACACCGGUGGCGAAGGCGGAUCUCUGGGCCUUGCCUGACGCUGAGGCGCGAAAGCUAGGGGAGCGAACAGG